GGGGCAAGAAGAAGUAGGUUUUCCAGAUGAGAGUGGAACAUGUUGCUAUGGACCAUUGAGAUUCCCAGACGCCUCUCAACUAUAAAGCCUACUGUACAAUCAUCAGACUCACUGCUGUCUAGGAGAAACAAUUGAGGUACCUUUCGUGAACAAGGCACAAGUACCAACAUAUGCAUGAAAUGGCCUCAAAAUCAAAGUCAAACACACACGCUGAAUCAGGCCUCACCUUGCCCAUUGUGCCAUCUUUUCUGCCAGCUUCCUGCUCAGACA